rnacentral:rRNA from 1 species
UACGAAGGGGGCUAGCGUUGCUCGGAAUCACUGGGCGUAAAGCGCACGUAGGCGGACUCUUAAGUCGGUGGUGAAAUCCUGGAGCUCAACUCCAGAACUGCCUUCGAUACUGAGAGUCUCGAGUCCGGGAGAGGUGAGUGGAACUGCGAGUGUAGAGGUGAAAUGCGUUGAUAUCAUCUGGAAUACCGGAGGCGAAGGCGGCUCACUGGGAGUUUUCUGACGCUGAGGAACGAAAGCCAGGGUAGCGAACGGG